GGGGGUUUAGCUCAGUGGCAUAAGCACCUGCCUUGCAAGCAGGCAGUCUUGAGUUCGAUCCUCAGUACCGAUA
rnacentral:tRNA from 1 species